rnacentral:rRNA from 1 species
AACGAACGCUGGCGGCAGGCUUAACACAUGCAAGUCGAGCGCCCCGCAAGGGGAGCGGCAGACGGGUGAGUAACGCGUGGGAAUCUACCCAUCUCUACGGAAUAGCGCAUGGAAACGUGUGCUAAUACCGUAUACGUCCUUCGGGAGAAAGAUUUAUCGAGGAUGGAUGAGCCCGCGUUGGAUUAGCUAGUUGGUGGGGUAAAGGCCUACCAAGGCGACGAUCCAUAGCUGGUCUGAGAGGAUGAUCAGCCACACUGGGACUGAGACACGGCCCAGACUCCUACGGGAGGCAGCAGUGGGGAAUAUUGGACAAUGGGCGCAAGCCUGAUCCAGCCAUGCCGCGUGAGUGAUGAAGGCCCUAGGGUUGUAAAGCUCUUUCACCGGUGAAGAUAAUGACGGUAACCGGAGAAGAAGCCCCGGCUAACUUCGUGCCAGCCGCCGCGGUAAGAC